rnacentral:rRNA from 1 species
AGCGAACGCUGGCGGCAGGCCUAACACAUGCAAGUCGAACGGAUCCUUCGGGAUUAGUGGCGGACGGGUGAGUAACACGUGGGAACGUGCCCUUUGGUUCGGAACAACUCAGGGAAACUUGAGCUAAUACCGGAUGUGCCCUUCGGGGGAAAGAUUUAUCGCCAUUGGAGCGGCCCGCGUCUGAUUAGCUAGUUGGUGAGGUAAAGGCUCACCAAGGCUACGAUCAGUAGCUGGUCUGAGAGGAUGAUCAGCCACAUUGGGACUGAGACACGGCACAAACUCCUACGUGAGGCAGCAGUGGGGAAUCUUGCGCAAUGGGCGAAAGCCUGACGCAGCCAUGCCGCGUGAAUGAUGAAGGUCUUAGGAUUGUAAAAUUCUUUCACCGGGGACGAUAAUGACGGUACCCGGAGAAAAAGCCCCGGCUAACUUCGUGCCAGCAGCCGCGGUAACAC